UACGGAGGGUGCAAGCGUUGUUCGGAAUUACUGGGCGUAAAGAGUGUGUAGGCGGUGCUCUAAGUCUGUUGUGAAAUCUCCCGGCUUAACCGGGAGGGUGCGGCGGAAACUGGAGUGCUUGAGGGUGGGAGAGGUAAGCGGAAUUCCUGGUGUAGCGGUGAAAUGCGUAGAUAUCAGGAGGAACACCGGUGGCGAAGGCGGCUACCUGGACAGAGUCUGACGCUGAGGCACGAAAGCUAGGGGAGCAAACGGG
rnacentral:rRNA from 1 species